GAUGAACGCUGACAGAAUGCUUAACACAUGCAAGUCAACUUGAAUUUGGGUUUUUAACUUAGGUUUGGGGGUGGCGCGGGGGGGAAAGCCGUAAGGAACUUGCCUCCCGCCAGGGGAGAAAAUUUGGAAACAAUGGUUAUAACCUAAUAUAUGACGAUGGGGUCGUCUUAAAUUUAGAAAGGUAUUAGCGCUGGGGAUGAGCUUUGCGGCCCACUGGCUAGUUGGGGAGGUAACGGCUCACCAAGGGGAUGAUGGGUAGCCGGCCUGAGAGGGUUAGCGGCAACGAGGGGACGAAGAGACGGCCCUUACUCCUACGGGAGGCAGCAGUGGGGAAUAUUGGACAAUGGACCGAGAGUCUGAUCCAGCCAUUCUGUGUGCACGAUGAAGUUUUUCGGAAUGUAAAGUGCUUUCAGUUGGGAAGAAACAAAUGACGGUACCAACAGAAGAAGUGACGGCUAAAUACGUG
rnacentral:rRNA from 1 species